rnacentral:tRNA from 1 species
GGUUGUGUAGUCUAGUGGUCAGGACACCGGAUUUUGAGCUUCAUCCUUCCGGUAGCCUGGGUUCGAACCCCAGCACGACCU